CAGCGUCUUCUCCCCGUCAUCUUUGUUGUAGCGGUGUAGCGUGCAAGGACGGGAGCGGAAGAAGUGUCAAAAAGAUGGCGCUAACUGUUUUAAUGUCAUUCAGACUUUACUUAAAUCAACAACGGAGCAGCAUCUCCUCAUCCGGAAACAACAACACCGGAAAUGUGUCCCGUGAAAAAACGUCCGACCAGAACUCUAAUAACUAAAGUUCCUUGGGUGAGUAAGGUAAAGUCACUACACCGGUAUGUUUUAGCACUUUCAUGGCGAGUUUACUGACAGAUAUAAGUAAUAACUUUCCGCUGCUUUAUAUUAGAAAUGGCUACAGCGGAGGAUGAAUGUCCCAUAACAAGAAGGUGGAGAAAAAGAAGAAGCUUAUCGACUACGGUGUCGGCACGGACUACAAAGGCGGACCUGCACGAAUUUUCCAGACUUAUGCAGAUCCCAAAUGCAGAUCAGCAGGUACCAGAAGGUAAGAAAAGUUGCUUUUGCAUAAUAUUGGGAAACAAAACACCAGAUAAUAUGUCUUACCUUGUACACACACCAUAAUAAUACUCCUAUGUUGAAGCACAGUACAAUCCAUCAAGCGGUGCGGCUUCAUAGCUUACCAAAGUCGUACUAAAACAUUUUGAUAGAUUUUUGAGCGCCGUGUGUAAUGUUCUGUAUUUUCAAUGGAGCAUAUACAAUGUUGGUGUUGUUUACUUGAGUCAUAUUGCAGUCUACACGAAAUAAAACAAAAUAAAAUCAACAACGGAGCAGCAUCUCCUCAUCCGGAAACAACAACACCGGAAAUGUGUCCCGUGAAAAAACGUCCGACCAGAACUCUAAUAACUCAAGUUCCUUGGGUGAGUAAGGUAAACUCACAACACCGGUAUGUUUUAGCACUUUCAUGGUGAGUUUACUGACAGAUAUAAGUAAUAACUUUCCGCUGCUUUAUAUUAGAAAUGGCUACAGCGGAGGAUGAAUGUCACAUAACAAGAAGGUGGAGAAAAAGAAGAAGCUUAUCGACUACGAUGUCGGCACAGACUACAAAGGCGGACCUGCACGAAUUUUCCGGACUUAUGCAGAUCCCAAAUGCAGAUCAGCAGGUACCAGAAGUUUGUUUCAGGUGGGAGAAUUUAGUUAGGUACGUCACUUCCUGUUUUCGUCAAAACAAGGACGGAGAGGGAAGCCAUCAGGUGUUGAGCAGCAGCAGCAGCAAUCUGUUCGCAUCCUUAACACAGGACUGACAAAUCUAUGUCGUUCUUACACAGGCCAGGCUUCUCUAAGGAAAAGAAGCAUCUAGUCCAAGGAUCGUUCUUGGAAGAUUCCAGCCAGGAACCCCACCACCUGUUCUGUCUGGGCUGGUAGGAGGCUCUCGAGCCAACCCUCUACACCAGGGGUCACCAACCUUUUUGAAACCAAGAGCUACUUCUUGGGUACUGAUUAAUGCGAAGGGCUACCAGUUUGAUACACACUUAAAUAAAUUGCCAGAAAUAGCCAAUUUGCUCAAUUUACCUUUAACUCUAUGUUAUUAUUAAUAAUUAAUGACAUUUACUCUUAAUUGAACGGUUUAAAAGAGGAGAAAACACGAAAAAUAUGACAAUUAAAUUUUGAAACAUA